CUUUCGGUAGGGGAACCUUGCGGAAGGAUCAUUACAGAGCGUGAGACUCUGCCCGGGCGCGUCCCGCGCGCAGAGUUGACCCUCCACCCGUGUUGACUUAUUUCAUGUUGCUUUGGCGGGCCCGGUGCUUUGCGCCGACCGGCUUCGUGCUGGCUCGUGUCCGCCAGAGACCCAACCUAACUCGUGUUGUCGUGUCGUCUGAAGUAGAAUGAUAUUGAAUUGUUAAAACUUUCAACAACGGAUCUCUUGGCUCUGGCAUCGAUGAAGAACGCAGCGAAAUGCGAUAAGUAAUGUGAAUUGCAGAAUUUAGUGAAUCAUCGAAUCUUUGAACGCACAUUGCGCCCCUUGGUAUUCCGAGGGGCAUGCCUGUUCGAGCGUCGUCACACCCCCUCAAGCCGCGCCGUGUGUGUGGUUUGGUGUUGGGGCUCGCCAGUUCGGCGGCCCUUAAAGACAGUGGCGGGGUCGCUGUGGUCUCUACGCGUAGUACGAUUCUCGCGACAGAGCGGCAGCGACUGCGAGCCAACGAACCCCCAAUUUUCUGAAGGUGACCUCGAAUCAUGCAGUAGG
rnacentral:rRNA from 1 species